rnacentral:lncRNA from 1 species
GUCGGUAUUAGUAACCAUUAUAGCGACUUCCGGUUGUAGUGUCAUGUUCUUGAUUGAAAAGGUAAGGAAUUUCGCUUUGUUUGGGCUUCCUCAAUAAUGUUUACGUUUUAUUGCCAUAAACCUUUUGAACCAAUAUUUCUCUUUACAUAAACAUAUAUACGUAUAAUUAAAUAACCAUUGGGGCAAUUUUCAAACCAAAGGCCACCGCUGGACCUGCUAGAAAUAACAAGACCCAUUGGAUAAUGUAAACGUGAUGGUCACGGUUGAAGUAUAUUUCUCAUUAGGAGCCCUGUAGGUUCAGGGUUGCCUCGAAGCAAAAUAAUAGUAUAACAGUUAAAAUAAUAUACAAGGUAUUAGGGGUUCUAUACGGUAUAUGUUGAAACUAUUCUGGCAGCGAAGUCAUACGUGGGGCUCAGUUUCCUCUCGAUUCUGAUUUUGAUUGUCAGUUUGAUUUCGUCUUGUUUAGUCUUACAAGUGCUCUUGAAAAAGGAAUGGUUGUCACUAUUUCUCAUCUCUUCCCCCACUUAAAAUCUACUUGUUUGUUGCCCCUAGGAUCCUUCCAAACUUCCAGGCUUCCUGAUUUCUUCCCCUCCAUACAUACGCAAGCAGGUAUCUGACUCAUACACUGUUCACUUCCCAGACAUUUGUACAUUACUGCAUAUGCUUUAUACACACUUUUGACAAGUUGUGCUGCACCUGAGCACUGUAUACAAUAAUUUCAUUAUUAUUAUUAUAAGGUACUACUAGCGAACAGUGGUCCCGGUGCGCGCACUCGCGUAUCCGCGCUAGCUAGUCGUAAGUAGUCGAUCCUACGACUUUUUAACCCUAACCUUUGUUUAUAAAAAUAAUUUAUUUACUUAGUUUAAAAAAUUAUUUACUUUGCGUUUUAUUUACUUUGUUCGAAAAAUAUUCUUUAAUUUUCUUUGAUAUGUAUUCAGCCUUGAAAUACAAACAUACGCGCAAGUCGUUGUAGGAUCGACUACUUACGACUAGCUUGCGCGAGUGCGCGCUCCGGGACUACUGUUCGCUAGUAGUACCUUAUUAUUAUUAUUAUCAUUUGAGUGCGUCUAGUCGUAGCAGAUUAUCCGACUCAGGUUUGAGGGAGAUUUGACUGCUGUUUCUAGCAAACCGGAUAGCUCUUUAGACUUGUGGUUGUCAACCAUCUUUUACCGGUAAACUUUGAUGCUUUCACCCGUGCGAUAGGAAGAUAUGGUACUUGAUUCCACGCAAACAGUCCGAGGGUUUUUUUUUCCUUAGUGAAAAUCGUGGGGUGAAAGUAUAAAUAUUGAUCAAUAUAUAAAGAUCGGCAUAGUUUCGGUAAACUUCGCCAUAAAGAUCUUCACCCGGGAACAAGAAAAAAAAUGCGCGCUAAUGACCCUGGGGGUGGGGAGGGGACUUUCGGAAAAUUCACAAGAUCCGAUUUUUCCGUCAUAACUUCCGGUAAAAUGGAUAUAUAUAUUGUUUAUUUGGGGUUUUUUGCAAAAUACGAAGAUUACGAUUCUGAAAAAAAUUUGUUUGUAAAAUUUCAAUUUUUCAACAGAAAAAAAAACAAAAGAAUAUAUACCCUCAGGCCUUCAAGCAGGUUAUCCACAUGCUAGAAAUAACAGCCAAAUCUCACAAAACUGCGAUAACAUAAUGUAAUCAAUCUACUAACCGUUCUGCAAAGAUUUCUUUCAGAGUAAUUUCCCGUUGUAAUAUGACAAAAUAAUUCAUGUGAAAUUAAAGUGGGUUUAUUUUUGUAGUUGUUUUAAAACUUUUUUUCGAAUUUUUUUCAUCAAUCUACGUGGGAAAAUACGGACAUUAAGAAUAUGGAAAAAAAUAAACAAAUUUAAAUUUAAUUUUUUCAGAAUCGUAAUCUUCAUAUUUUUCUACGUAUUUCGCAAAUAAAUGAAUAAAAAUUGUCGGAAAAGGGGAAAAUGAUUACUAUUUUAUUCUGGUGGACUCCCAUAACCAUUCCACGUUUAAAAGCUAAUUAUAGACUUCUUUCUCAAUUCCUGUUUUGUUUUUUCUCACGUUCGCUUGUGUAGAUUUGCAGUAGCACCCUCAAAGUGAACAUGUUGAAGUAUGUAAGGCAUUAUAGAAAGAAACCUAAAUGUAGUUGUUUCUUGCAAUAAAUACCUCUAAAGUAAAAUUUUUUCACAGGCUGCUAAAAUAUGACUGUUGACCCCCCCCCCCCCCCAUCUUAUCUGGACUCCAGUUAAGAACCCCUGAUUUAGACUCUAAAUUUUAGAAGUUCCCCUGUUGGCUUUGUUGGUGGGAUCCAUAAAUGUGUUGGUAAACAUCCUUUGUGCAGUGUAUGAUAAGAUAAAUACUGAAGUUAGAAAUCUUUAUCUGCCUCGAAUUGGCUGACGGAACCGUUAGCUUGACGGACGAAAUGCUUUGGGGUAUUUCAUCCGUCUUUUCGCUGUGACCUACAAUUCUGCCUUUUUCUUUUGGGGUUGAUAGCAUAAGUACCAGACAAUCGACUUCCCCUCAAAAAACUACUGACCCGGUGCCAAAAUUUGAAACCAUUAUCUGCUUUGAUGCAGUCUCAGUUCUAUCUGCCAGUUUCUCACAACCAGCAGAAGAAGAAAAAAAAAACAAUGUAUGAUCUUCCACUUUCAGAUAUUUUUUGCUUUACUUUGGCAAGGGGUCAGUAGUUUUUUGAGGGGAAGUCGAUUGUCUGGUACUUAUGCUAUCAACCCCAAAAGAAAAAGGCAGAAUUGUAGGUCACAGCGAAAAGACGGAUGAAAUACCCCAAAGUAUUUCGUCCGUCAAGCUAACGGUUCCGUCAGCCAAUUCGAGGCAGAUGAAGUUAAAAUAUAGUCAAAAUAUGUAGCAAAAGCAAAGUUUGAAGAAAAUCUUAGCUAUUUUUCAUACUUUCUGAAGGUAAGCAAAUAGGAAACGACAGUUGCUAUCCAAGAACAAAAAUCUUGUUCCACUGUAACAAUCGCAAAGAAUUGCUUUUAUUUUUAACCCUGCAAAUGUAAGUUGAUGUUAUGUUUUAUUGUUAUCUGGCAUUGUCGGCAUAGGAUUGUGUUUAAAACCAGUAAUUUAUAAGAAAGAGGAACACAUCCAACCUAUUUUAACAUACAAAAAACUCAUCUCCUGGUUUUAUGAACUUCAAGCACUGUAGCAUUCAUUUCGGUCCAACAAUUUCCCUAACAACUCAUAACCAUGGCUGCAUAUGGACAUUAAAAUAACAACUAUAGUUCUUUGGUUGUAUACUGUCAACAUAACGUGACAGUCCUGUAAAGGGAAUUACACCACCGCUAUUUAGCCUCAGGAAGCAUCGACGCUUCUUGUCGGCUUUGACAAUUUCCUGUGCUUCCUAGGGCUAAAUAGCAGUGGGGUAAUUCCCUGUAUGGGACUGUCAUGUUAAGUUGACAGUAUACAACCACUCUAUCGCUCCUCCACCGCUCAUGUCUCUCUGAGACAUUUAGAAAUUCAAAAUAGUUCUUUGAUUCUGUAUUUAUAAUUAUUAUUACCUUUUUUUCCUCUUUUUUUGCAGUGUUCUAUGUCAACUUUCAAGAAGUAAAACAAAAUAAUCCAGCCAGAAUGUCGUAUAUGUUACCUCAUCUCCACAAUGGCUGGCAAGUGGACCAGGCCAUUCUCUCAGAGGAAGAUCGUGUUGUUGUCAUCCGGUUUGGUCAUGACUGGGAUCCCACCUGCAUGGUUAUGGAUGAAGUACUUUAUAAAUGUGCUGAAAAAAUCAAAAACUUUGUUGUAAUCUAUCUUGUAGACAUUACUGAAGUUCCUGACUUCAACAAGAUGUAUGAGUUAUACGACCCCUGCACGGUCAUGUUUUUCUAUCGUAAUAAGCAUAUCAUGAUUGAUUUAGGGACUGGUAACAACAAUAAGAUAAACUGGGCCUUAGAAGAUUGUCAGGAAUUCAUUGAUAUUGUUGAGACUGUGUAUCGAGGGGCAAGAAAGGGACGUGGUCUUGUUGUCUCACCAAAGGAUUAUUCUACUAAAUACCGUUAUUAAAACAUUUUUUAAUUAACUGAUGAAAGAGAAGUAAUUCCUUGGUGUGUCUGGAACAAGAAUCCCUUUCCAUCUUGUCCUCAUUCAUUUGACUGUUCUCUCAGCUGGGUUUAACAUUAAUUGUACAUGAAACAUUGCAGGUGGUUUCCUUAUUUUUUUCUUUCACAAAUUUACCUCUAUUUCUAUUUUAUUCCAUUAUAGCAUCAAGUUAUCAGUAUUCUUAUGAGUUUCAUCAGGUCUUCAAAUGACCUGAUUACUUAAAAAAAGUCAACUAAUUGGUACUGAUAGACAUAUUUUUUUUAAUGGGUUGUAUCUAUUAUUUCAAGAUAGCAGGGGUGAGAUACGUUUUAUGAAAUUGUAUAUUAUUAAAGCAAAUACUUUUACAGCUGAAUGUUACAAUUUUCUUUUAUGGCUUAUUGAUGAAGUAAUUUAAAGUUUAUGUUCUAUGAACUUCAUUUUGUGUAUCUUUGUCCUGCACUGAGUUUGAGUUUAUUCAUCCAACAACACUCUUCAGACAGUCAUUUCUAGGCUCAACUCAAAUUUUUUUUUUUUUUCUAAUGCAGUGUUUCAAUGUUCUUAUCACUCUACCAUGUCACUUAUCCUGUUUUAUACAUACAAAUGUGUGUAUAUAUAUAUAUAUACAUAUUCUUACAUACAUACAUAUAUAUAUAUAUGGCUGAAAACAGGUACAAGACCAUACUUGAAUGAUUAGCAAUAAGAAAGGACUCAACUAUUAUUGUCUGAUUAUUAAACUCCUUUUUCAUGUGAUGUCUUAUUCUUCAUUUCUUCGUUUCUUCCUUAGCAGGACAUCACAUGAAAAAGGUGUUUAAUAACCAGACAAGGAUAGUUGUGUCCUUUCUUAUUACUAAUCAUUCAAGUAUGUUUUCGUACUUGUCCUCAGCCAAGCUGAAUGAGUCAAAAUACGCUUUGUGCCCUAUCUAGGGUUACAACAUAAUAUAUAACAAUGUGACCUCAAAGCUACUAUUCCAGCAACUAAUUAUUAUUUAUUUGGUGGAUUCUAGUUUUAUACUAGGUGUACUUUGAUGUUAUAUGUGUCUACAUUUGAUAAUUGAAAUGGAUGCAAAAUUCUGAUCAGUCACUUUUUGGUUUGAAAUGUCUUAAGGAAUUGCAUUGAAUAUUAGCUUUGAUGAUCAAAGUUUACUAUAGCUAUAAUAGUGUUAUAGAUGUGCACUCAAUUAUGGUUAAGUGGUCAAUUGCAGAAAGAAGAAUCCUUUACAAAGGCUGAAAAGAAGCUAUCGUUCCAACAAUGAAAAUGUUCAAAUGUACUAAAACAAGUCUGUCUAUAAAUGAAAUAAAUUGUAAAAUAAUGCUCGUCUGAAUUGUGCGUUGAAAUCAUUUUGAAUUACUGUACGCGUUUACAAGAUUUUACCUGUCA